GUGCUUAUUUUGGCAGCACAUACACUAAAACUGGAAUUACACAGAGAAGAUUAGCAUGGCUCCUGAACAAGGAAAAUUCAUGAAGUGGUCUAUGCUAAA
rnacentral:snRNA from 1 species